rnacentral:misc_RNA from 1 species
AACGCAUAUUGCGCCCUUUGGUAUUCCGAAGGGCAUGCCUGUUCGAGCGUCAUUAUCACAGUAUCAAGCUUGGCUUGUUGUUGGGCCUCUUGUCACCUGGUGACAGGUCCGAAAGACAAUGACCGGUGUCAUAAGACUUCCAUAUGCAACGAGCUUAUAACAGCACGCAUCUGGUGGUUGGUGUGACCCGUGGGCAGCCUCUGGCACCCUCUCUUUCUCAAGGUUGACCUCGGAUCAGGUAGGAAUACCCGCUGAACUUAA